rnacentral:rRNA from 1 species
UACGUAGGGGGCAAGCGUUGUCCGGAAUCAUUGGGCGUAAAGCGCGUGUAGGCGGCUCGAUAAGUCUGCUGUGAAAGUCCAGGGCUCAACCCUGGGAUGCCGGUGGAUACUGUCGAGCUCGAGUCCGGAAGAGGAGUGUGGAAUUCCUGGUGUAGCGGUGAAAUGCGCAGAUAUCAGGAGGGACACCAAUGGCGAAGGCAGCACUCUGGGACGUGACUGACGCUGAGACGCGAAAGCGUGGGGAGCAAACAGG